rnacentral:tRNA from 1 species
GGUUGUAGCUCAGUGGUAGAGCACUUGCCUAGCAUGUGUAAGGCACUGGGUUCGAUCCUCAGGACCA